GAAAUGUGAUAAGUAAUGUGAAUUGCAGAUGUCUGUGAAUCAUCAAGUCUUUGAACGCAAGUUGCGCCGCCAAAAGCGGCAUACUUGUUGGAGUGAUGGUUAAAAUCAAAAACAAAAAAAAGUAUCUCUUGAAAAGAGAGGUAUUGAGGAUCUAGUUCAUAAAAGGACUAGUCUCUUUCAAUUACAUUUGAGAAGGAAAAAAAAGACACUUUUUUUUCUUUUUUAGAUGUCACUAGAGUGCAUAAUGCACAAAUUGACAUCAAAUGAAGAAGAAGAAAAAAACGUCUUACUUCUCUUAUAUCGGAACAAAAGAGAGAGAAAGAGAGUGAGUGAUAAAGAAAAUAGAAGAAUUAAAAAGGAAGCUUCUUUUUUUUUUCUUCCUCCUUUCCUUAUCCCUCCUCUCUCUUCCCUUUCAUCAUCAUCAUCAUCCUCCAAUCAAGUAAGACUACCCCCUGAACUUAAGC
rnacentral:misc_RNA from 1 species